rnacentral:rRNA from 1 species
GACGAACGCUGGCGGCGUGCUUAACACAUGCAAGUCGAACGGAAAGGCCCUGCUUGCAGGGUACUCGCGUUGCGAACGGGUGAGUAACACGUGGGUGAUCUGCCCUGCACUUCGGGAUAAGCCUGGGAAACUGGGUCUAAUACCGGAUAGGAGCCAUUUUUAGCGUGAUGGUUGGAAAGUUUUUUCGGUGUAGGAUGAGCUCGCGGCCUAUCAGCUUGUUGGUGGGGUAAUGGCGCACCGAGGCGGCGACGGGUAGCCGGCCUGAGAGGGUGGACGGCCACACUGGGUCUGAGAUACGGCCCAGACUCCUACGGGAGGCAGCAGUGGGGAAUAUUGAACAAUGGGCGCAAGGCUGAUGCAGCGACGCCGCGUGGGGGAUGACGGUCUUAGGGUUGAAAACUCCUUUCGCUAGGGACGAAGCUUUUUGUGACGGUACCUAGAUAAGAAGCACCGGCUAACUACGUG